GACGAACGCUGGCGGCGUGCUUAACACAUGCAAGUCGAACGGAAAGGCCCUGCUCUUGUGGGGUGCUCGAGUGGCGAACGGGUGAGUAACACGUGAGUAACCUGCCCUUGACUUUGGGAUAACUUCAGGAAACUGGGGCUAAUACCGCAUAGGAGCUCCUGCUGCAUGGUGGGGGUUGGAAAGUUUCGGCGGUUGGGGAUGGACUCGCGGCUUAUCAGCUUGUUGGUGGGGUAGUGGCUUACCAAGGCUUUGACGGGUAGCCGGCCUGAGAGGGUGACCGGCCACAUUGGGACUGAGAUACGGCCCAGACUCCUACGGGAGGCAGCAGUGGGGAAUAUUGCACAAUGGGCGGAAGCCUGAUGCAGCAACGCCGCGUGCGGGAUGACGGCCUUCGGGUUGUAAACCGCUUUCGACUGUGACGAAGCGUGAGUGACGGUAAUGGGUAAAGAAGCACCGGCUAACUACGUG
rnacentral:rRNA from 1 species